GCCUGGGUGGCUCAGUCGGUUAAGCGUCUGACUUCGGCUCAGGCCAUGAUCUCACAUUUUGUGGGUUCGAGCCCCACAUCAGACU
rnacentral:tRNA from 1 species